CAUUUGAUGAAGCAUUGGACUUGAGUGAGACAUCGUCGUCAUCGUCAUCAAAGAGGUCCUUUCCGUCUCUCUCAUUCUUGUUCCCAGCGAAACAAAUUUUGCUGAAAAGAAAAAGAAAUCGCCAUGGAAGACGUUAACCAGUUGUUCGAUGCUGCUUUCGAGUUCGCACACUAUCCCGGCAACUAACGCGAUUGUUCCCGCGUGCAAAACGAAGAAUCGGUUAAGAAGUUCCUCGAUCGCUUCCCUCUUCCCGUUAUUUUCAAAGCUUUACAAACUGAUCCGGACAUCCCAGGUUUUGAGAACACGCUUGUGAAUUGCUUGGAGAGGCUGUUUAAGACUAAGUAUGGCGCCUCACUCAUUCCUCAGUAUAUGCCUAUUCUACAAGUUGGUCUCAAAGCGAAUUCUGCAGUAGUGAAAUCUCUGGCUUGCAACGUCGGGAAGCCAUCUUUAAUUAGCUGCUUAUGAUCACUCACGUUCUUAUUGUAACGUUGGGAAGCCAUCUUUGAGUAAUGUUGAUUCUCUUAUUGAUGAACUUGAUGUUAGUACCAAAAAGCUUGUAAAAUGAUGAACAUUAGGAAAACUUUAGCUUGUUGCAUUGCAGCUGCCAAGUAAAUUGUAGGGGAUAGCUUUGAAUCACGGUGACUAUCUAAUCUUUUAAAUGAUUUGGCCACUGUUCUGAUUACCAACGAUGAUGAUGGAUCCGAGAUGAUGGAUUACCACAUACAGCUUCAUAGUGGUUCGUCUAAGCUCACUUUGAUGUAUCACUGGUUUCAAUUAGAUGGUGGCCGAUUCAAUGAGAUGAGGCAAAUCGUAGCUGAAGUUGGAGUAGUUUCUAAGGCUGACGGCUUUGUUUUUAGUUCUGCUGUUUACGAGAUGGGAAAUACCAAAGUAAUUGCAGUUGUCUAUGGUCCAAGAGAGAUUCAAAAUAAGAGCCUACAAAAAAAGAACGAUCAUGCAUUUGUAUGUAUAUGCUUUCCUGAGUUGCCAGAGUUUCUGCAGGAGGUUUUUUCUAUGUGAUAAGUUCCCUAAUUGAUAAAUAAAGAUGAAUCGGCAUCUCUCUUGCCUGAUUUUAAUUACUGAUAGGUUUCAGCGAUGGAAAUAAAACACUUUCCUCAUCUGCAUAACGAAAAGCUUCCCCCUUGUAUUGUCUAUAUUCAACAAAUUGGUGGGUCUGCAGUUUCACGUUUUAAAAAUUGAUGGGAAAUAUAUCCUUCUUAUGCAGGCAUUUCACGUUUGCGCUUGAAAUAUCAUAUAAAUGAGGUAGGCAUCCCAAUUGAAAUUGCGCAGAGAAUCACUUUUGAGGAAAGGGGAUGGAUCCAAGGCGCACACUGUGCUUAAACCGGUUCCAGGUCGGGUCUCAAUAAUAACCGGGUCAGGUCUUCUUCUUCUAGGAGAGACAACAAGUUCGAAGAUGUUGUGAUUCAAGAACACGCUCUUGCUGCUGCUGCCAUCUUGUUCCGACAGCAGAAUGGCGGAGGAUCUUUGCCGUUUGCGGAGAAGCUGGCAACUUUUUAAUGGCUUUCUCGGAGAGUCUAUAACCGUGAAGGGGAGAGAGGGACCAUUGCUUUAAGGGAAAAGUGGUUAGACCAUCUCCGCGCCAUUCUGCUGUAAUUAAGUAAUAAAGGACCUCUAUUUUUUUAAAAAUU